UACGUAGGGGGCAAGCGUUAUCCGGAUUUACUGGGUGUAAAGGGAGCGUAGACGGCAUGGCAAGUCUGAUGUGAAAACCCGGGGCUCAACCCCGGGACUGCAUUGGAAACUGUCAGGCUAGAGUGUCGGAGAGGCAAGUGGAAUUCCUAGUGUAGCGGUGAAAUGCGUAGAUAUUAGGAGGAACACCAGUGGCGAAGGCGGCUUGCUGGACGAUGACUGACGUUGAGGCUCGAAAGCGUGGGGAGCAAACAGG
rnacentral:rRNA from 1 species